rnacentral:rRNA from 1 species
AGCGAACGCUGGCGGCAGGCCUAACACAUGCAAGUCGAACGAUCCUUCGGGAUAGUGGCGGACGGGUGAGUAACACGUGGGAACGUGCCUUUUGGUUCGGAACAACUCAGGGAAACUUGAGCUAAUACCGGAUGUGCCCUUCGGGGGAAAGAUUUAUCGCCAUUAGAGCGGCCCGCGUCUGAUUAGCUAGUUGGUGGGGUAAAGGCCUACCAAGGCGGCGAUCAGUAGCUGGUCUGAGAGGAUGAUCAGCCACAUUGGGACUGAGACACGGCCCAAACUCCUACGGGAGGCAGCAGUGGGGAAUCUUGCGCAAUGGGCGAAAGCCUGACGCAGCCAUGCCGCGUGAAUGAUGAAGGUCUUAGGAUUGUAAAAUUCUUUCACCGGGGACGGUAAUGACGGUACCCGGAGAAGAAGCCCCGGCUAACUUCGUGCCAGCCGCCACCGUAA